AUGGCAGCAGCUUUUGGUUCUGGCGCUCUAUUCUCCAUUUUAGAGAGUAGUCUGUGCCUCUUCAUCGGGCAUCCUCUGGAGCUUCCCCGAGGUGACAAGUGCUUCCCACGGACAUACAUCCUGGUGAGCUCCUUGGUCCUUGACUGGUCCAUCACCGAGAUCAAUUCAACUAAACACAUGCUCCCUAAGCCGCGGAACUCGCGAGUGACAAGGAAACAGUUGCUGCCACCUCGCUCCAGAUCGAGCAGCAGGUCUGAGCCACGGUGGCGAGAGCGGCCCGAUGUGCAGGAAGCUAGUGAAUUAGGUAAGAAGGCCAAGGAAUUGAAGAAGGCAUCGGAAGCCCUUCACCAAGAAGAGAGAAGUGGGAACAAAGGCAGAAAAUGGCGCAAAAACAUGAAGGCUGUCGAGAAGGCUGAGGCUACCUGGGCUUUUACAUUGCUUGAUUACAUUGGAAAACUCAUAUUCGGCAUUGUUGGCACAUAUUAUCAUAUAAUUGUAUCUUCUUUCCCGAAUGAGAUCUUCAUAAAGAUGGACAGUGUUUGGGGUCUGCUUGGGACUGCUGCUUUUGCAUUCUUCUGCUAUCUCCUCAUCGCAGUGAUUGCUGGAGAAAUGAUGCUUGGCCUGAAAUUAGUUUUCAUCAGCAUUCACCCAAUAUGGGGAGGAACGUUGAUGAACUCUUUUUUGUUUAAUGUUGGACUGAUCCUACUUUGUUCCAUCAGUGUGAUUCAGUUCUGCGAGACAGCUUUUGCGUACUAUGCACAAGCAACUGCAGCUCAGGAGAUUUUUGGCCACACGCUGCAGUCUCUUCAUGGAAUUAAUUAA
rnacentral:rRNA from 1 species